rnacentral:rRNA from 1 species
UACGUAGGGUCCGAGCGUUGUCCGGAGUUACUGGGCGUAAAGCGCGCGCAGGCGGCUUGGCAAGCAUGGCGUGAAAGCCCCCGGCUUAACCGGGGAGAGUCGUCGUGGACUGCCAGGCUUGAGGGCGGUAGGGGUUGGUGGAAUUCCCGGUGUAGUGGUGAAAUGCGCAGAUAUCAGGAAGAACACCCGUGGCUAAGGCGGCUCUCUAGUACGGUACUGACGCUGAGACGCGAAAGCGUGGGGAGCGAACAGG